rnacentral:rRNA from 1 species
AUUGAACGCUGGCGGCAGGCCUAACACAUGCAAGUCGAGCGGAUGAAGGGAGCUUGCUCCUGGAUUCAGCGGCGGACGGGUGAGUAAUGCCUAGGAAUCUGCCUGGCAGUGGGGGAUAACGUCCGGAAACGGGCGCUAAUACCGCAUACGUCCUGAGGGAGAAAGUGGGGGAUCUUCGGACCUCACGCUAUCAGAUGAGCCUAGGUCGGAUUAGCUAGUUGGUGGGGUAAAGGCCUACCAAGGCGACGAUCCGUAACUGGUCUGAGAGGAUGAUCAGUCACACUGGAACUGAGACACGGUCCAGACUCCUACGGGAGGCAGCAGUGGGGAAUAUUGGACAAUGGGCGAAAGCCUGAUCCAGCCAUGCCGCGUGUGUGAAGAAGGUCUUCGGAUUGUAAAGCACUUUAAGUUGGGAAGAAGAGCAGUAAGUUUAUACCUUGCUGUUUUGACGUUACCAACAGAGUAAGCACCGGCUAACUUCGUG